UUAUUUUUCAACUGGAUCAGUUAAGAAAAAGUCAGUGGCAGUGCAGAUGGUGAUGACAGCUCAUACAGGAAUGCUGCUAGGUUUCUGACCAUUGCCUUGAAAUACUGAUUUCAAACUUCAGUGCUGUAAUGACAACAUAAAUGAAGGUUGAAGAACCCAAAACAAAACCUAUUUCCCAGCUCUGGAAUCGCCACUGUUGAUAGAAGAUGAUUCUGCAUAAAGAAUACAAGUACGGUUUCAUUGGCUUUAAGGAGUUGUUCCAAAUUAUACUGGUGUCGGGCUAGAAUCAAAUAAGCGGAGCUCAAACACCCCACCCCACGUUUACCCACACAAGACCACUGCCUUUCGCAAAGGUAAAAGCUACAAGCAGUGAGCUGCAACGUCUUCUCUGCAGGUUUGAGCAAAUAGGUUUAUUCCAUUGCUUCUGAUAGCUCUAUACCUGCAUAUACAAACAAUGCUUUUGUCUCAGAGCAGUA